rnacentral:tRNA from 1 species
GGGCCCAUAGCUCAGUUGGUAGAGCGUUUCGUUCGCAACGAAGAGGUCGGGAGUUCAAGUCUCCUUGGGUCCA